GAAUCUGUCCGUUGGUCGGGCUUCACUGUCCGUACUGGCGUGAUGGGUUCUUACCUUCUGAAUAACCAGCAUGCCAUUCACUUGGUGCGUUGGGGAAGCAGGACUAUUACCUUGAAAAAUUAGAGUGCUCAAAGCAGGCCAGCGCCUGAAUACAUUAGCAUGGAAUAAUAAAAUAGGACGGCAUGGUUCUAUUUUGUUGGUUUCUAGGAUUGACGUAAUG
rnacentral:rRNA from 1 species